rnacentral:lncRNA from 10 species
UGGAAACAGUACAUUAGGAUAACUCUGAAGAAAUGUGUCUGCGAUGAAGUCAAAAGAGAAGGAGCUGGAGGCCCCGGGAGUGCAGACGGCAUUUCAGUGCUCACAGGAGAGCGUCCGUAGAUGGCGAGGACAGAGAAGGGGUUACCAGGGCUUCCAAAACCGCGAGAAAUAAAUGUCUGUGUCUAAACCCCAACCCUACCACCUCAACUGCCGUGUGUGGUGUUUUGUGAUGGCAGCCCCAGCUGACUGAGACACCUGGUUAGACCGGAAUAAGCAGUACCUGAGUCCCUUAAGAGUGGCCAAAGAAGAAAGAAUCCACUGAGUUGACAUUCCAGUUCAGCUGCAAUCGGUAGCAGUCACCAUUGAACAUCCUUGAAGCAAUUCUUCCAAAAUUACCUUGCAUCAAAGACUGCACAAGAACUGCUCUAAGCGGAAGGACUGAUGUCGGCAACCAGGGUUCCA